GGCAGCGGGGCAGGGAAGGGACAGGAGGAUGCGUGUGAAGAGCAAAUGGUGGCUGGUGAGAUGGCAGCGUGGGUGGAGAGCCCUAAAUGGUCGAGCUGGCUCAUAGGAAGCUGAAAGGAUGCUAAUGGGAGGUAGGGGAAAUGAGCCCAGGCAGCAUAGAACUGAGUGAGAGGUGGGGAAUUUGACAUGCAUGUCACGAGGGAGAAGGGAAAAACAGAGGCAGUGGUAUAGAGGGAAUUGCUCACCUCCCCAUCCUCACUGGCACACACGCAGAGGGGCAGUCAUUUAAGCUGCUCCAAGCACUUUUUUAGCCUCAGCCUUUGUUAAGAGACUCUUCAGCAGCCCCAAGUGUAAGCCACUCUCUGGACAGCAUCUCUGACCACGUUCCUUGGGGAAAACUGGAUGAACCAUGCUGAAGAUGCCAGCUGGUGGCACGGGGCGCAGGGAAGCGAUAUGGGACCCAGGAGGUGAGGAUGAAGGGACUGCCUGCUGCUUCACUGAAGGUAAGGUGUAGCGAGGCCAAGCAAGUGACGUGCUCAGGAGCUAUGCUCUGCUCUGGCUGGUCAAACGGAACCAAGCCCGUCUUCCUCGGAGGUUUGGUCCCCUUCAACCAGCUAUAGCAGUGUUGAAAACAUCGCACCAGGAAAGUGUGCCUCCAUCCAUCUCAGCUCAACCCUGACAGCCUCUCCUCCUGCAUGGAUCUGCUGCCCCUGAGGAAAUGAGUCACCAGAAAAGAUGUGGGACAGGUUUUGACUUUACUCAGCUUCUCUGCAAGAGUGCUUGCCCGUGCAAGGUCCACAUGAUCCUACCUGCUCAGCAUUACCAAAGACCCCAAAUAUCAGGUAGAGGGCUUGCAUACUCUGCAGCAUUCAGCUAGUUUCCAACUCUAUGUGAAUCCCCACCAUUCCCAUGUGGAAUCAUAGAAUGGUUUGGGUUGGAAGGGACCUUUAAGAUCAUCCAGUUCCAACCCACUGCUAUAGGCAGGGAGACCCCCUCUGCACCACACUGCAGUAAAGGAACAACAGCAAAGUAACACAAGGGAAGUCCCCAACAGAUGUUCCCCUCCUAAGUGUUUCUGCAGCACAGCUGCCAUCUCUCUUCCUCCCACCUUACAUCAGUCACUCCUAAUUCAGCAACUGCCAGCAUUGCUCAGAGCUGGACAUGCACCGAGGCACAUCCAGCACCAUCAGGAUGCAAAGCAGCAUCUCAUUUGUCAGACAGCAGGGAAUUCACAGAGCCCAGGACUCAAAGGUUUGGCACUGAGCAGAAAACAAGUCUGUCAGCUUCUCUGGGAGAUGGAGGGGGAAGGCAUAAUGAAUUUACAAGUUGUCCUCUUAGAUUUAGCAAGGGGAAAUGGUUUUAAACAUCAAAGACCCUAAGAGAAGAUGCAACAGUUCCAGAAUGUUGCAUAGAACUGUAUUUCUGCUGGACAAAUAACUAUAGGAUAAACAAAAUAAAAAUGGGUCAGGGUCCAUUCCCACACUGGGAAUCCAACCCCGCUAUGGCUGAUAACAGGCAGGCAGUGGAGAUCCUCAGCUAUUCCCUGAUACCUCCACCAUGGACCAUGAGGUCUCAUAUAGACCUGAGGCCAAUGUAGAGUGACUCCUACAGCACCAGCAAUGACUGAAAUGAGAGCCCAGCGCCAAUAGGGGAAAUACCAGCCAGGAGUGGGGCAGAAACCCAUGGCUACCCUCCUGCCCAAGGCCUGUUGGGCCAGCAGAUCACCAGGCUGUGGUUGUGGGUGACCAAUGGUGGAGUAAGGAAACCCCUGAGCAACCCUGUCCGUUAGUGACUCACAACGACGGAGGGACAGCCCUGAUGGAUGAAGUCCUGAGGGACUUUGAAACCAAAUAAUUUUAGAAAUAGUUGAGGUUUCGGUGUUGUUUUGUUUUGUUUUGUUUUGUUUGUUUGUUUGUUUGUUUUUGUUUUGUUUUAGAUUUAAACUGAAGCAAAAAUUGGAUUAUUGUUUCUUUCUUCCUUCAUUUUUGUCCCCCUGAAGAGGAAAAAGCAACCAGGACCAAAAAGAUCAAAAAUCCAGCUUCAUUUCCUGCUAAAUUAGUUUAUAAAAAGAAAUAAAACCAUUUUGUUCUGCUUUGCAUUGAAUCUGAGAGUCAUUUCAGUCCCGCUAGAUAGCUUUCAGAAAUCAAGAAAUAGAGGGGUUGCUCUGAAAGUAAUGCCUCCUAUCUGAUGAUGCUGACCCAUGAUGCCAGAGGUGGAUGCUGGUGGGAUGGCAGUAGAGGCCGAACCUCCCCACCAAUAUUCCAUUGCAUUUUGCUUCCACGUGACAGCUGGCAGCAGAGAGGCAGUCUGACACAAUGGCGUCUGAUAUGGAAAUGCAUAGGAAGUAAAAGGGUGUCACUGAAUUCCUCCAUGCAGAAAAAAUGGUACCUAGUGAUGUUCAUCAACACUUCCUGGAUGUUCAGGGACACCAACCCGUGGGUGUGAGCACAGUGAGAGGUGGCAACAGUGGCUCACCUCUGCUGGUGCACUGCAUGCACCAGCACUGCAUGCAGGCUCUCAUUCAUCACUGGUGAAAAUGUACAGCUAAUGGUAGUGACUAUGCUGAAAAACGGUGUUUUGCAGCUGAAAAUUGACUCUACCAAACAGCGUUAUUGUGCUCUUCGUAUCUAUGGUAAUUUCCAUGGAAAUCAAUAAGAGGCAUUACUUUCAGAGCAACCUAUGUAACACUGAACGGCGCGGUUCAGCUUCUUCAUCAUGCUGUAAGCACAGCGGGAUGAUAUCUCACUCUCUGCUGUCCAUAACACAAGAGCACCCAAUACUCCCUUUUCACAUGUAUGUCAUAGGCACGAUAUGACUGUCAGCACGUCUCAUUUUGCUUCAUACCCGUUACUGUGAUUUUUUCCACUGACUUAAGUGAAAACACAUACUCUUCCACUGCAUUUUUUUUUUUUUUGCCAAACAAUUAUCAGAUAACCAGGAGCAAUAAUUCUUAGAAAUAAACAGGUUCCUUUCUGUUCAGAAACUACAAACAUGACCCACUUCUGUUUACUGCAGACUCUUAAAAGUCCAAAUUGUUUUAGAAACAGCCUUCAGCAAUUCUGCAUGAAGCAAACUUCCUGUUCACAGUAAAUGAAGACAUGCUGCAAAUCCACCUUGAAAAUAUUUGGCAAAAAUAUUUAUGGAUGUAAAAUAAAGCAAAAUGCUAUUGGGCAUUAAUUUUCACAACCAACCACUUUCGGGAGGCAUUACAUUCAUCCCAAGAAGCUGUUUCUAAAGGAUGCAUAUACACGUCUAUAUGCUCACACUGAAAAUCUCAGCACAUAAGACUUCUGUAAGCCUGUUGUAAUCCAGUUCAUCACAUCAGACACAUACGGAAUCAUAGAAUGUUGGCUUGGGUUGGAUGGGGCCUCAAAGGUCAUCCAGUUCUAAACCCCUGCCAUCAGCCACCCCGUAGCACCAAGUCACCCAAAAGCUUCCAAGUACCAUUGCCAAGAAGAGUGUGACAGUGGGACCCCUCUCAGUGCUUGCUUUCCAGAAAGCAUUUUAAACUGAGACAGGGAAGGUUUAGGUUGGAUAUUAGGAGGAAAUUUUUCACCCAGAGGGUGGUGACGCACUGAACAGGUUGCCCAAGGAGGCUGUGGAUGCCCCAUCCCUGGAGGCAUUCAAGGCCAGGCUGGAUGUGGCUCUGGGCAGCCUGGUCUGCUGGUUGGCGACCCUGCACAUAGCAGGGGGUUGAAACUAGAUGGUCAUUGUGGUCUUUUUCAACCCAGGCCAUUCUAUGAUGAUUCUAUGAAAGCAUCACUGUUUUCCCUUUCUGCUCAUGAUUCUGCCACAGGAAGAGGGACCACCAUCCACCUCUUGACCAACCACCAUUGAUCUGCUCUUGCCUCAAGCACAUUCUGCCAGGACAUGAGGCCAUGCAAUGCAGGUUUAAAAUGUCCAUUUAUCUUCCUAGAGGGAAGAAAGGUUGCCUGUCUGUGUGCAGAAAGGUUCUGCCAAUCUCUCUUUCACUAUAAAGAAAGAAAGAACUUUUGAAAAAAAAAAAAAAAACAGCCAUCACUCCACCAUCUGAUAAACAUUCAACUUUGCAUGGUGCAUCUUUAUAUGGUAAUGCCCUGCUUGAAUCCUUUGACUCAAAGAAUUGGGAUGAUGAGACAUUUGAGUACUUUGCCUGCUGGUCUCCUUCCGCUUGUCUAGCAUCAGCUGCUUAUCAGCUAUCAGCCUCUGCAUGCUGCAGAAGCCUGGUGGCAUCUAGCAUCUUCUGCACUGCUGCUCUGAGAGCUGUGUUCCAUCUCCUGAGCACCAAGGGAGGCAACAAAGGGGUAUGCAGUAGGGCUGUUUCUCUGCAGGGAUGUGCCAUGGGUUCUUCCAGGCUUUGCAAGGUGUUGGGAAAGAGCAAGAGGACUUCUCUCUUAGACUGGAAACGUAGGCACAUUUUAAUUUAGUAUUUCAGUCUUCACAGUAAUGAAAAGACCAAAAAAGGAGAGCAAAUUCAGCUAUUGCGUAAGACUUUUUAGCAAAUCCUUAAAUUAUUAUGUCAAGGGACAAGAGAGUUUUCAGACAGGAGUGCGUACAGCUCCUGUAUAAUUAUUUUAUACAACCCUCUCAAAGUUCAGCACGUCAUCUGCACAGAUAAUAGACACAGCAAUCAGAAAAUCCACCUGUAAACAGUAAGAGCUUUUUUUAUCCCCUUCAAAGCUCCAUUAGAUAAGAGUCCAUUGCUCCUAUCCUAUUUGAUUGGUUCCCUCUUCUGCUAAGACUUUCUCUUUUCCUGACUGUGUAUACGUUAUUUCCAGGUUCAGCAGAAUUAAAAUACCCAUAAUAUCCAUGGAAUGGAGGCUUUUGAGCUACAGCUGUAAAUAAGUCUCCAUUCUGGCAGAGCUACUUGAGUUGUCUUUUGCUAAGAUUUGCUAAUUAUCUGAUGAAACAAUUUAUCUGAUUGAGCCUCUUGCACACACAUGGUUUACAUCCUAACUUCUUCUCAUGCUGGUAUGAUAAAGACACCAGCUGCUUGAAGCCCACUGCUCCCUUACUGGUUGAAGAAGAGUUUGGCCACAGAAAAAUUAAAAAUGUCAAAGACCAGACUCAUUUUUUGAUUCUUUAGGUCACGUGCAUUCAGGUGGCCACAUCUACUUUGGGCUGAAGUGUAUCUGAAGAAAGCCAAGACCCAGGCUCUUGUAGUCUGCCAAGCGUUGAUACUGGGCUUUCCCAUCCCUACAUCCUUUUUGAAGCCAACUUGUGAGCUCUUUGCCUACUCUUUACACGAGAAAAUUAAGACAUGAAAGCCUGCAAACCAGCAAAGGAGAAUGGAUUACAGCCUCCAGCAUCAGUGCAGAAGCUGUUCCAGAAGGAAGAGUGUUGCACCUUGGUCAAAAUAUGGGCUAAAAUAGAUUCAGGACAAUGAGUUCAUCCAACUAUCCUCUUUGACCCUGCCACCCUGUAAAGACCCACUUGGUUAGAAGGCAUUGUUCAGGGUACAACAGGACAGUGGGCUUCUGUCAGGUACCCACCAUCCUGUACCCCACCACUGAACCUUCUUGGAGAGAGAACUUCAGCAGUAGUCACUCUCUGACAAUUCUGCCUGGGAUAUUUCUGGGAAGUGCAUUGCACUGAGGUCAGCAUUUGCACACGUUGGGAAAAAACAACGAAUUGUUUUUUCUUAAGAGAAAAAAGCCAACUCAGACCCUAGAUAUAGUCUUGAAAAUUGAGUCCUAUUGCAUAUUUGCAAAUCGCAUCAAAACCACUCUGAGUCACUUCUCUAAUACUUCUUGAAUUAGGACACUUUCUUGCACACCAAAUGUCAUGGGCAGGAGUCAUUUCUCUGCAAGAGAGCAAAAGGAGCCCGACUUCUUAAAAUGAGAUGACGAAUGAGUUUUUUGGAGUUUACCCAGGUAUGUGAGUGUAUGGGUGAUAAAACUAGUUUUCUGAAGAGACCUGGUUUGAUUGGAAAGCAGUUCCCUGCAACACUGAACCCCCCAAACCUCAGCAGCACUGUCACAGCCCAGGGCAACACCGAGUGCUUCCUGAAGAUGAACCAUAGAACCAUAGAAUCAUCAAGGUUGGAAACGACCUUUAUGAUCAUCCAGUGCAACCAUCAGCCCAACACCACCAUGCCCACUGACCACGUCCCUCGGAUGAAAACAAGGACUGUAGGAAGACGGCUGCUGCCCAACAACAUUGCCUCAUCCUUCCUCCGGUUUGAUUUCCAUUCAGCCCCAGACAGAACCAGAUGCUCAUUUAUGUUGAGCUUUCUCUAUGCUCUUCCAUAAGCCCUUCUGUCUUCCCAAGGAGUUUGCCUUGUUAUAAGGGCAGGUAGAAGGACGCUGUUUACUCCUUUGAAGUAUCUGGUCAAGGACUUCUUCCAACAUUACAAAGGGAUAAUAGGAAAGGAAAGCAGUGAUGGGAAUCAAACCUGGUUGGUUGAAGGAAAGAUAAAGAAGGAGACAGAACAUUGCUUCAAGCAGUGUUGCCUGCAUGAGGACCUCUGGAUUGAGAGUAAAGACAGGGAAACAAUUAGGCAAAUGCUGAGACACAGACAUGGCAAAGAAAAAUGGAGACAAGGGCAAGUAAGUCCCCCAUUCACACUGGUCUGUGGGCUAUCAAACAGCAGUUAGAGAUGGUAUACAAACAUAAAACCACAGUCCAUGUCCAUAAAUAAGAAACUACCAUUUGUGCCAUUUAAUAAAGCUAUAAAAAUUACACCAGGAGUGUGUAAUUACAGGAGUAUUCAUCUUUCUCUUUCUUUUCUAAUGCAUGCUGCAAAGGACUGACCCUCUAACAUUCUCCACAUGGGUCUGCAAAAUGUUUUUUCUGCUUUUUUGGGGGGGUUUACUACGGUCUGUCUAGUCUUAAUCUACUGCACAAUAAGUUAGAGAUGUAUCUGUCUCUGGAAAUAAACAAGCUGACAUAUCUGCAGCUGGCAAUGGGUCCUGAGAUAGGGAUGAAUACAACAGCAAUCUGACAAAUUUCAGUAGUUAUUCGUCUUCAGACAGAUUGAACUACAGUGAUCUCAAGAAGGAAAAAGAUUAUCCAAAGGGAAGGAUGCAGACCACCUGGAAAUGGGGACUGCCGGGUAACCUGACAGCAAUGUUGUGGUCCUCAGUGUCUUGUUUGCGAGGAGGUGGUGUGUACCUCUUCAUCAGGACAUUAAAGCCCUGCAUGGAAAACACACUGUGGCUUAGAGAACCACCCUGAGAGAGAGGUGUGGGUCAAGUGGGGAUCUUCCCACACAAAGCAGAAAGAAAGAUAAUCAAAGCUCAUGGAAACCUGGCCCGAGAGGAAGUGACAAAGGCACAACUAGUGCCGGCAUGCCCAGGGGAUAGGAAAUAAAUGUCCACGCACGCAACACGUGAAAUCUGAGGUGGAUGUAAAGAGGAGGACAAUGAGAAGGACAAAGAGGAGGACAACAGCACGGGAGCUCUGUGGGGCAGCAGCAGAGACCCCAGUCCCUUUUCCCCCUGCUUUCUGUGGUUCGUUAGGGUCGAGGUGUGGGCGAGACACAGGAUGCGAGCAG
ensembl:lncRNA